rnacentral:lncRNA from 1 species
AAUGUACAUGUACCCAGCCUGCAGAGAUUUGAUUAUAGCUAAAAGGUAUGAGGAAGCCUAUGACAAAUGUGAGAAAAUGUCCGACUUUAUACUAAAUGAAGCACAGAAGAAGCUAGGAAGAAGCAUCAAUCCUUAUGAUAUCAAACUAGACUGUCCUGUUCCUGGAUGCUUUGACAUUUCUAAUUUAACUUAUUUUCUUAAUCGCUCUGAUGUACAUGAAGAUCUUGGAGUUGGUACACACCAAUGGCAAAUGUGUAGUGAACUGGUUGAAAAGAAUCUCAUUAAUGAUGAAGUUUUGAGCUUCAAGUCUGCCCUUUCAAUGGUGUUAUAAGAAAAAAAAGAGUGUUGAUGGGACUAUGUCUGCAAUUACUUUGGAGGAAGAGCAUGGACUAAACUAGUGGAAUGGGAAGGAAAAAACCAGUUCAAUUCAGCAAGCUAUAAAGCAUGGAUAGUAGAUGGGGCAAUUGCUGGUGAAGUGAAGGCUUAUAGUGAUUUGACUUUGUUGGAGGUUAACAAUGCUGGACAUCAAGUACCAAUGUUUGUACCUAAACAGGCCCUUGAUAUACUGGACAGGUUUAUCAAGAACAAGCCUUUUGCUGCUUCUUAACUUAUUGCAGUGAUAAUGAUUCAUAUUUGCCAAUGUGUACAUAAAAUUAAUGCUUAGCUAUUUGCUCAACUGCUAUUAUUAAAAUUGUUAUUUAAGUUGUAAAAAUUCUCUGAGAGAAAUAAGCAGCUUUUCUUUGCUGUACUCUG